rnacentral:rRNA from 1 species
CGGAACGCUGGCGGCGUGCUUAACACAUGCAAGUCGAACGGUGACGAGGAGCUUGCUCCUCUGAUCAGUGGCGAACGGGUGAGUAACACGUGAGCAACCUGCCCCAGACUCUGGGAUAACAGUUGGAAACAGCUGCUAAUACCGGAUACGAGACGGAGAGGCAUCUCUACCGUCUGGAAAGUUUUUCGGUCUGGGAUGGACUCGCGGCCUAUCAGCUAGUUGGUGAGGUAAUGGCUCACCAAGGCGACGACGGGUAGCCGGCCUGAGAGGGCGACCGGCCACACUGGGACUGAGACACGGCCCAGACUCCUACGGGAGGCAGCAGUGGGGAAUAUUGCACAAUGGGCGAAAGCCUGAUGCAGCGACGCCGCGUGAGGGAUGACGGCCUUCGGGUUGUAAACCUCUUUCAGCAGGGAAGAAGCGAAAGUGACGGUACCUGCAGAAGAAGCACCGGCUAACUACGUG